rnacentral:rRNA from 1 species
CCUGGCGACACUGGCGAGUGGGUACCACCCGAUCCCAUCCCGAACUCGGAAGUGAAACUGCUCAGCGCCGAUGAUAGUGUGCGGUUUCCGCAUGCGAAAGUAGGUCAUCGCCAGGC